rnacentral:lncRNA from 1 species
GGAUGGGGGAUUGGUCAGCUGCCACUAUAAUCAUGUUUUGGCUGAACAUAUUUCUUGCUUGAGUUUAUGUGGCUUUUGUGUGGACAGGCUGAAGUUCAUGGGGGAAGGCAAGAGAUAGAUAUGUGGGCCAGAGAGGCUUGCUUGGGUGGCUGAUUCUGAUUAGGACACCCUGAUAAAUGAAAAUCAGUGGCGGACAGUAGCUUAUAGACUGGUACUGAAGGAAAUGGGGGAACUUCAGAGACUACUGUUUGGUACUUGUAUCUGGGCCAGCUUGAUAGGGAGAGAAAUCCUAAGGAAUGUAGAGAUGAUGACCCUACCAAAUUUGGAACUAGACUCCAAUGAGUUUAGUUAAAACAAACACUAUGGUGAAGAACUUUCUUCAUUAGUAUCUUGUCACUUGGGGGAGUGAGGGGGGGACAGAAUUUGCUCUUAAAAACCCAGGGUUUGCUUCCAUGUGUUAUUACGAUGUUCUUUGUAGGCCUCCAUUUGGGAUUGAGUGGUUAAAAAAAAAAAUCUGUACAGCUUUUGUGCCCUUAUCAUGAUUUGUCAGUAGAAAGGGAGUAAAAGCAAAACAUUGAGUUCAGAAUUAGAAAUUUUCUUCUUUUAAGGAACACCAUGGUACUCUCAGAGAACAGGAG